AUAGCAGGAACAUAACGCCGGUACAAACCUCCACCGCGAGGCAAGAGAGAUUACGCGGCGGCGAACGGACAUAUACACUAAUAAAGACAGCGAACAAUAAUAAUAAAACAAAUUGUAAGCCAAAACUUCAGAGAAAAUGAAACGAAUAGAAAUUCUACAUUCACACAAACAAUAACAAGAAAUGAAGCGCAAGAUCGGAUGAGAGAGUGAGGUUUAAGGUCGGUGUGGCGGUUACCUCAGCUCCGGGUGGAGCAACGAAAGGGUUGCGAUGAAGGAGACAAUGGCGUAGCGGCUUUGUGGUAUGGAGGAGAACGCGAAGGUAGUGGAAAACGGGAAGGAGAGCGUUUGGGUUUGGUGAGGGUUCGCCUUUUCUCCUCCAAGAAAAAUAGUUUUUUUCGUUUUUUCUAUCUGAUUUCUUUUUGCUGGUGAACAGUCUCGCCGCUCAAUGAGAUGAAAGUUCUCCCUUUUAUAUUCAUCCUGCUAGGGUUUGGAAUUGGUCACUGAGAUCAAAAGAGUAUUGGAAUUGGGAGUGCUUGCGAUGUCGCCAGUUGUCUACCCCAUUUUGAUGUUUAUUCUGAAAAAGGUUGGUGUUGUAGUAGAAAUAUUCCAAUUUGAAUUUUGGGUUGCGGCGGCCGGAAGAAGUCAUAGACACGUUGGUGCCAAGACUAAGGUCGACCGUGUUGUUAUACUGUAGUCAAAUUGCUGCAGAAUGCUGAAU